UACUUGAACUCCUCGUGUCAACUUGCCUCUCUGCGGGCUAAGCCAGCACGGCCACUUUGAAAGAUUUGUUCCUCUGUGGCCUGAAGAGCUACAGACAUUUCAAACAAUGGGCUUAGAGCAAAGCACACAGUGCAUAAGAAAAUGACUUAAAAGUUCUGAAAGGAUUUCCACUGUGGGGACUUUAGAGAAUUAGUGUAGCCUGUGUGGGGGAUUCUGGAUUCAAAACAGAACACUGAGAAGAUUCUUUUCUCCACUUCAAUCAAAGUAAAAUGAUAUCCGAAACAAGAAAAGGAUGGUGCACAGUUGUGGUUCUUAUAUUGAUAGUUGGCUCAUUGGAAGGAAUUAAUUUGGCAACACCAUUCCACAGUAACCCUAGGAUAUUGACUACAGUCCAGUCAUUACCUCCUCCUGGUGUGCUCCUGACAUUUCCACAUCCCAUUCCUCCUCUGCCUUGUCUCCAAGAGAAUGUCCCCACUGCUACCCCCUUCCAGGCCUUGUCAUUCCCUCUAGAGGUUUUAAAAUGCAGUAGAAGUUACAGUCCAGCACAGCAACAAAGGCAUGGCAUGGGAAGAAUAUAUAAAAGAACAUUAUAUCCUGGCUGGGAGGAAGAACAUACAUCUGCAGGAUGGAUUCUAAAAUCUGAUUCCAAAGCUCUGAGGAUCAAAAGCAAAAGGAAUAACUGGAGUUACAAAAACACUGAAUGGAUUCUGCCCAAUAGAGGGUUCCAACUCUCACAAUCCCUCAACAACACAGCUGCUUAA